rnacentral:rRNA from 1 species
GGAAUUUUGGACAAUGGGCGAAAGCCUGAUCCAGCAAUGCCGCGUGCAGGAUGAAGGCCUUCGGGUUGUAAACUGCUUUUGUACGGAACGAAAAGUCUCGGGAUAAUACCCUGGGACCAUGACGGUACCGUAAGAAUAAGCACCGGCUAACUACGUGCCAGCAGCCGCGGUAAUACGUAGGGUGCAAGCGUUAAUCGGAAUUACUGGGCGUAAAGCGUGCGCAGGCGGUUAUAUAAGACAGAUGUGAGAUCCCCGGGCUCAACCUGGGAACUGCAUUUGUGACUGUAUAGCUAGAGUACGGUAGAGGGGAUGGAAUUCCGCGUGUAGCAGUGAAAUGCGUAGAUAUGCGGAGGAACACCGAUGGCGAAGGCAAUCCCCUGGACCUGUACUGACGCUCAUGCACGAAAGCGUGGGGAGCAAACAGGAUUAGAUACCCUAG